AACAAAAGGAGAUUACAGCAGAUGAGCGAGGGCAGGAGUAGUAGGGAAAAAGGAUCAGAAAGGUAGGAAGAGACUGACUCAAGCAUGGCCUACAGACAAAUGCGCCUGAAGUGAGGUAGGAGCCACUGCAGGAUCUGCACAAGAGUAACAGGACGGUCGAACGUGCUAAAGGAGCGCCCUGGCUAUUGUGCUAACAAAGAGCACAGGGGAGAAGCACAGAAGGGGAGCACCUCUCGGUGGCAGGCUAUUUAUGACUGAAGUGUUAGAAAAACCCUGGUCUUUCAGCAUGAGAAAUUGCUCUUGGAUCCGGUUAACUGUCUAGCUCUGUUCCCCAGGAAACCAUGAAUGUCAGAAACCACAGAAUGUCAGCUGUGUUACUAGGCAACAUGGCUUAUGGUAAAAAUGACCCAUUGGUAAAUUGCUUGGGUCUGAGAGGGACUAAAAAUACCUGGAGAGUGGCUGUAACUUUGGACUUCUCCUAGUGUGGUGACUCCUGUAACCGAGCCUGUACCCCGUGGGGAUCCUAGAAACCUUGCCCAUGGGUGGUCAUACAAGGCUCCUGCAGAGAAGAGACGCUCAUUCAUUUCUAACCUCAUCACCACCAACAUAGUAUAAUGCUUAUGACAAGAUUGUCCUGAGAUACUGCAAAAGCCACGUACAGACAUGCAGUAUGUGUAGUGAUCCCGCCAGUCAAUUCGAAUAAUAAUAUGAAGAUUUACGACUACAUGUUCCUGUGAGUUCAUCUACAGCAAAAUGAAAUAAAGGACUUAGUCAAUUGUACAGAGCAGCCUCGACUGCGACUGGUUCUGAUAGCACAUGGACAGGCAUCAUUACUCUACAGUGGCAGCCUCGAGUCCAAAGUUUCCAUCACUCCAUUCAAGCUGACAGACCAGACUGAAUGGAAUCUGAGUCUCAGUUGCAAAUUCCUGGGAAUGAAUUGUGUAAGGGCAAGAAUCAAAGCAGAGACCUGUUAGAAGAUUACUGCAAAAGACUGGAGGAGAGAUUAUGCGGUCCUGGACUUGAGUGGUAACAAUGGAGGUGGUGAGACUUCAUCAGAUCCUGGAUAUAUGGUGGUGAGACAGCUGACAGGACUUGCUGAUGGAUUGACGACGAGGAAAAGAAGAGAGUCCAGGAUGAAUGGCAGCAAACGACUGAGCCCUGAUGUGGCCUGGCCAGCAAAGUAGGAGAAGCCAAAAAGAGAUGUGAUCUGGAAGCUAAGUGAAGAAAUCUUUAAGGAAGUAAAGAUCAUCAAAUGAAAUUCUAUUAAGAGGCCAUGCAAGGUGAGAACUGAGAUAUGACCGCUGGGUUUGGCAAGAUAGAGGCCAUUAUUUGAUCUUGACAAGAGUGUUCUUGGAGGAAUAGUGCAAAUGCUGGAAAUGGAAUGAAUUGAAUUGAAAAUGCAAGGUGACAAGAGGAGACAGUAAUAAUAGACAACUUUUGAUGGACUAUUGCAAAAAAAAGAGUAGGAAAAUGUGACGUUAGUUGAAGGGAAUAAGGAUACUAGAGAGAAUUCAUAUCCUGCUUAUGUGCUGAUGGGAAUAAUUAAGAAGAGAAGGAAAAAUUAUGGAUGCAGAGGGGAGAGAGGAUAUUACUUGAUUGAAAUCAUUGGUGGGCAGGGGUGCCUGGGUGGCUCAGUCGGUUAAGCAUCCAACUCUUGAUUUCAGGUCAGGUCAUAAUCUCACAAUUCCUGAGUUUGAGCCCUGCACUGGGCUCCUCGCUGUUAGCUCGGAGCCUGCUUGGGAUUUUCUCUCCCUCUCUGUCUCUCUGCCCCUCCCUGGCUCUCUCUCUCUCUCUAUCUGUGUGUCUCUCUCUCUUUCUCAAAAUAAAUACACUUAAAAAAAGAAAAAAGAAUCAUUGGUGGGCCCAAAGUAUAGGAUCUGAUACACAUAUGAAAAUGCUGUCUUCGGAUGGGAGCACUGAGGGUUAUGUAAGCUAACAGAAGGGAAGGCAAAGUGCAUAGAUACAAAUGUUGGUAGAUUGAUAGAUUUAAUGAAGAAAAAUCAGGCAAUUUUGUUCCAAUUGCUUCUACUUUCUGAAAUUAGAAGAGUGGUCAUUAUCGGGCACUUGGGUGGCUCAGUUGGUUGAACGUCCGACUCUCGAUUUCUGCUCAGGUCAUGAUCUCAUGGUUCAUGGGUUCAAGCCCGGCUUUGGGCUCUGUACCCACAGUGAGGAGCCUGCUUGGGAUUAUCUCUCCCCCUCUCUGCCCUGCCCCGCUAGCAUGCAUGAUCUUUCUCUCUCUCUCAAUAUAAAUAAUUUUUUUUAAAAAAAGAAGAAGAAGAAUGGUCAUUAUCUGAAAGUGAGAAGUGGAGUGGGGAUGUCUGAGGUUUAAAGAUGGAGGAGAAGCUGUGAAAUAACUAUCUAGGGAAAUAGGAAAGCCCAGGGAAGUGUCAGAAGACUGUUGAACAGGGUAAGACUGACUGGAAUCUUAUGGUGAAAAAAGUUUUGAAGAGCAUUCAACACGGUUGUAUAUUGUUCUCGAGCCAUAGUCAACUGAUCAGUGUUGAUGUGAAGUAAAGGGUUAUGUUUAAGGCAGGGUUGGGUUUUUCUAGUGAGUAAGAUGGAAAGUGGGAGGGACAAGACAGCUGUGGGUAUAUGCAAUAGACCUGGUUACAAUAAGCCACAGAAGGAGAAAAUACAGUAACACAAGUAGAAAAACAGACAGUGAAAAGGUGAUAGACCAAAGAUUGGCUGCUCCAAAGGGGUUGGUUGGGGGUGGUGGUCAUGGUACAGCUAGAAAUAUAACAGAUGGUUGAUUAUAAGAGUAUGGAGUACCAGAAGUCAGGAAUUUUUGAAGGUGAUAAUGUGAUGUGGUAGAAAGGAGUCCUCUAAGGUAUAUGAUCACAACAGCAUUUUGCUGAAAUGUAGUGGAGGAAAAUAAUCUUGAAAGUAGGAAGAUUAAGCAACUUAAAAGCUAGGGAAUGCAUAUACAUGGACAUAUGUGGAUACAUGGAUAAUUUUUGUGCGUGCUGAAGUUACCCAGCAU